rnacentral:misc_RNA from 1 species
GGAAAAGCUUUCCCUUGGGGUAUUUUCAUUUUGAAAAGAAGAUGCACGGUUCUCGUACUGAUCAACCCUAGAAAUUCUGCCCUGAGCACGGUUGAAUGAGUCAGAAGAUGAGAGUCUGGAAGUAAGACCUACUAAUAGAGGAAGCCCACUCUCUUUAUCUGUCUGCUCAUUUGCCUUAUAAAGUGCAUUUCCAGCUUUGACUUUUGGAACUCGG